AGUAAACUGACUUCCGGCUCUUGUUAAAAUCAUUCUUUACCCACACAAGGACAAAUAACAGCCGACCAGGCCGCGAAAACAACAAUCUUGAUGACAAGACAAGAAUGACAUUUUCAAAAAUGUUCCGUUUCAUCACGUCCGCUUUAUAGAAUACAACGCUUAUAAAAUAAGAGGCUGACUUCCUGGUUGCAUUUAGUUCGGUGUCUGUUCAUUGCAGCUGAUCACAUUGGAGUUCCCUGGCUUCAGGCCCCAGCUAAGGGAGGUGUCUGUCCCAGUGACUACAGGCAGCACCGAGUGGUCUCCGUCCCAGUGACUACAGACAAAAUGAAAGUCCGUGUGUAUUCCUCGGUGAAAAGCCCGGGGCCGCGGCCUAGUCCGCCUCAGAAAGAUCCGAAGGCUCUUAAAGAAUGUGGAGUGGAGCUGAGGAAUAUUGGUGAUUUCGUUAACUUCCUCCAGCUCAUGCUGAACACCAUCAGAGUCAUUCAGCAAUCUACCUGAGCGGCCCCCGUCCAAAAGUAAAUACAACCAACCCGAAGGUUAUUACCGAAAAAUGGUUUUUAAAAAAAAACGCCGUCUGUGCUUUCUUUACCGGUUUCUGGACUGAGCUUUCUUCAUUAAAAGUCGUUAAGAGAUCCAGGAUAUGGUUGGGGCCUGUCGGAAGAGCUGAAGCCUGGGCAUGGCAGUAACCCAGGGGUGGAAGGAGCGGCAAAAUGGGCAACGGUGGGAACAAAACAAAGAACAACAAUAACAAUACCGAGAGGAUUUUGUUGGACAGUGUGGAGGGAGGAUUAGACCGAAAACUAUACGCUCGGGAGGAAAAAGGUGUGAAACGUCGUAUUUUUAAAAAAAAAAUAAUAGGAAGCGCUAUGUUGCAUCGUAUGUUUGUAAAAAUGGCAGUGACUGAAUGUUAAACUGAUAAACUUUUCAACGGCUUUCUUGUGUCACUUUUUUAACAGUUGAAAAUUGUGUAUUAAUGGAACAGUUUAUUAAUGAGUGGUUUUCACUACUUCGGUACAUGUGACAACGGUAAAUCAAAUUGUCACGUGUAUUUUACAGUGAUACUGUACAGUAAAAUACAGUGAAAAAGCUUCCACUUGUCACCUUGACCCGGUGCCAUUUUGAAUAGUUUAAUAAAAACUGAUAUAGCUUAAAGUUUGUUUUUGAAUGCACAAUGUGAGAUUUUGAGGGGGGGUGCAGAAGCUGCAAAUAUUAGUUAAUUAUGAAAUGAAAUAAAAUGGUUUAACAUGUAUGACAGGUCUGCCAUGGAUUUUGAACAACCUCAGUUUCACAGGUUUUUAUUCUUAUUGAAUAUCUGUAAAAAAAAAAUUUGAGAGAUGUUUGACUUUAAGUUGUACUGUGAAUGUGAAGUGUUAGUUUAAAGUCAGAACAAAUUAUAUAUCUCAUUAAACUAACUAUAACUACUGAUGAGAAAAACAUAUUGUAAGCAAACGUUUUAAAGGUUCACUGGGUCUCAGUAAAACUGUCUUAUUGUCAUAUGCAAGCUUAUCAUACAUAUGUAUAACAAUUCUAUUGUGCAAAAACUUGCAAUCAUUCUGAGUGUUUUGAUACUGUAAUUCUUGGCAAUUUGCAUUAAAUAUUUUUAAUCAGUAAU